AUUGAACGCUGGCGGCAGGCCUAACACAUGCAAGUCGAGCGAGCGGCGGACGGGUGAGUAAUGUCUGGGAAACUGCCUGAUGGGGGGGGAUAACUACUGGAAACGGUAGCUAAUACCGCAUACCAUCAGAUGUGCCCAGAUGGGAUUAGCUAGUAGAUGGGGUAAUGGCUCACCUAGGCGACGAUCCCCAGCUGGUCUGAGAGGAUGACCAGCCACAGUGGAACUGAGACACGGUCCAGACUCCUACGGGAGGCAGUAGUGGGGAAUAUUGCACAAUGGGCGCAAGCCUGAUGCAGCCAUGCCGCGUGUAUGAAGAAGGCCUUCGGGUUGUAAAGCACUUUCAGCGGGGAGGCGUUACCCGCAGAAGAAGCACCGGCUAACUCCGUGCCAGCAGCCGCGGUAAUAC
rnacentral:rRNA from 1 species